CGGGGUGUGGCUCAGCUUGGUAGAGCGCUGCGUUCGGGACGCAGAGGUCGUGAGUUCAAAUCUCGCCACCCCGA
rnacentral:tRNA from 1 species